UACGAAGGGGGCUAGCGUUGCUCGGAAUUACUGGGCGUAAAGGGCGCGUAGGCGGAUAUCUAAGUUGGGGUGAAAUCCCGGGCUCAACCUCGGAAUUGCCUUCAAAACUGGAUAUCGUUGAGUUCGGGAGAGGUGAGUGGAACUCCGAGUGUAGAGGUGAAAUUCGUAGAUAUUCGGAAGAACACCAGUGGCGAAGGCGACUCACUGGCCCGAUACUGACGCUGAGGCGGCGAAAGCGAUGGGA
rnacentral:rRNA from 1 species